GACGAACGCUGGCGGCGUGCCUAAUACAUGCAAGUCGAGCGAACAGACUAGGUGCUUGUUCCUAUGACAUUAGCAGCGGACGGGUGAGUAACACGUGGAUAACCUACCUUUAAGCCUGGGAUAACUUCUGGAAACCGGUGCUAAUACCGCAUAAUAUCUUUAACCACAUGGUUCAAUAGUGAAAGACGCAUUUGCUUCACCCAAUAAUUGUCCCGCCUCGAAUUAGGAUGUUGGUAAGGUAAAGGCCUUCCAAAGGGAUGAUGCGUAGCCGACCGGGAAGGGUGUUCGGCAAAAUGGGACCUAGGACACGGUCCAGACUCCAACGGGAGGCAGCAGUAGGAAAUCUCGCGCAAGGGGCGAAGGCCGGACGGGGCAAGGCGGCGGGGGUAAGGAAGUUUUUCGAAUCGUAAACCUCGUUGGUUAGGGAAAACGAAAGGUGGAGGUAACAGUGCACCAAGUGACGGUACCUAAUCAGAAAGCCACGGCUAACUACGUG
rnacentral:rRNA from 1 species